rnacentral:rRNA from 1 species
GACAGAGGUGCCGAGCGUUAGGCGGAAUCACUGGGCUUAAAGCGUGUGUAGGCGGACUUCUAAGUGCCUUGUGAAAUCCCACGGCUCAACCGUGGAACUGCUGGGCAUACUGGGAGUCUUGAGCCAGCUAGGGGCUACCGGAACAAAUGGUGGAGCGGUGAAAUGCGUAGAUAUCAUUUGGAACGCCAAUGGUGAAAAACAGGUAGCUGGGGCUGUGCUGACGCUGAGACACGAAAGCCAGGGGAGCGAACGGG